rnacentral:rRNA from 1 species
GACGAACGCUGGCGGCGUGCCUAACACAUGCAAGUCGAACGGAAAGGCCCUGCUUUUGUGGGGUGCACGUUUGGCGAACGGGUGAGUAACACGUGAGUAACCUGCCCUUGACUUUGGGAUAACUUCAGGGAACAGGGGCUAAUACCGCAUAGGAGCUCCUGCUGCAUGGUGUUGGAUGGAAAGUUACGGCGGUUGGGGAUGGACUCGCGGCUUACCAGCUGGUUGGUGUAGUAGGGGCGUACGAGGGCUUUGACGGGUAGCCGGCCUGAGAGGGGUACCGGCCACAAGGGGACUGAGAGACGGCGCAGUCUCCUACGGGAGGCAGCAGUGGGGAAUAUUGCAGAAUGGGCGGAAGCCUGAUGCAGCAACGCCGCGUGCGUGAUGACGGCCUUCGGGUUGUAAACCGCUUUCUCCGGUGACGAAGCGUGAGUGACGGUAAUGGGUAAAGAAGCACCGGCUAACUACGUG